AUCAAUAGCUAGUCGCUUAAGUGGAACAACAACCUAUGCAACCUCAACCCCGCCAAAACUGAAAUCAUAUGCACCAACAGCUGAUCAGUUUGGACAUCACUAUCAUCAAGAAAGCAAGCAUGGCAAGAAGGUGAGAGGUGACUUUGUGCCAGUUUAUGUGGCAAUAGGGAUGAUAGCUGUAUCAAUAUCACUUGGUCUUUACACUGCCAAGCAACAAGUACUGUAUGCACCUAAUGUUCGCGUAAGGAAGAAGACUAGAGAGACCAUACCUGAAGUGGUUGAUCCAGAUAAAGUGGUGGAUGAAGCUGAUAAGUUCAUAAAGAAAUCAUUUUUCAGGAAAGUAGCACAUGUUCAAGAGUUUGAUCAUUAUGGACUUGAGUAUUUGCCUGAUCCUACUCGUAAAGAUGCUUUUGCACGUAAGCCUCGUGCUGAGACCCUUAAAGAUGUAGGGGUCGAUCCUAAACUACAGCUUUGAGCUGCUAUGGAAUACGCAUCUCUUCUUCUUUGGAAAGAUGGGAUCAACCCCUUUUUAGCUUAAGAGGGAGGCUCUAGGACCUCCUUGCUUAAUCAGCCAGUGUGAUUGUAAAUAGAAGUAAUUGAAAUAAUGUUGGUGUUUCUUCAAUUACCCUCCUUGAUCAUUGGAUAAUGUCAGUUCUCAUGUCUUAUCAGUCUGUGUCAACUGCUAGCUGGUUCCAAGCCUACAUGACGAGAUAAGGAUAGACUGUGCAAGACCAAUGCGGUAUGGUAUAGAUAAAGAAAGCUGUAUAGGGUUGGGUAGCUACACAAAAUAACGAAUGUAGAUGAGGCAAAAAAAAGAGGAGAAAUGUAAAGGAAAA
rnacentral:lncRNA from 1 species